rnacentral:rRNA from 1 species
AUUGAACGCUGGCGGCAGGCCUAACACAUGCAAGUCGAACGAGCGGCGGACGGGUGAGUAAUGUCUGGGAAACUGCCUGAUGGAGGGGGAUAACUACUGGAAACGGUAGCUAAUACCGCAUACCAUCGGAUGUGCCCCUAUGGGAUUAGCUAGUAGGUGGGGUAAAGGCUCACCUAGGCGACGAUCCCUAGCUGGUCUGAGAGGAUGACCAGCCACACUGGGACUGAGACACGGCCCAGACUCCUACGGGAGGCAGCAGUGGGGAAUAUUGCACAAUGGGCGCAAGCCUGAUGCAGCCAUGCCGCGUGUAUGAAGAAGGCCUUAGGGUUGUAAAGUACUUUCAGCGGGGAGGCGUUACCCGCAGAAGAAGCACCGGCUAACUCCGUGCCAGCAGCCGCGGUAAUUC